CAUGUGCUGGGCCGUGCACUCAUGGCCGGCCCACGUGCCGUCAUGCGUGCUUGCUACGCCGUAGCCUCCACUGCUUCAUGGGCCGUGCUAGCUUUUCUCGCACAUAACUUCACCGUUUGAACUUUAUUUGAGCUGUUCUUGGGCUCGUUGGACUCCAUUUAUCAUCCUAGACCUCGCUGUGGGCUCAGUGUGGACUGAAUCUCGAAGCGUCAAAUUCUAACAUUAAAUGGAUCUGGAAGAUGUUAGUGGCGCC
rnacentral:lncRNA from 1 species